rnacentral:rRNA from 1 species
ACUACGGGGGGCAGCAGUGAGGAAUAUUGGUCAAUGGCCGAGAGGCUGAACCAGCCAAGCCGCGUGAGGGAAGACGGCCCUACGGGUUGUAAACCUCUUUUGUCGGGGAGCAAAUGGAGUCACGUGUGACUCAUUGAGAGUACCCGAAGAAAAAGCAUCGGCUAACUCCGUGCCAGCAGCCGCGGUAAUACGGGGGCGGCGAGCGUUAAUCGGAAUUACUGGGCGUAAAGCGUUCGUAGGCGGUAUGUCAAGUCAAGGGUGAAAUCCCCGGGCUCAACGGGGGAACUGCCUUUGAAACUGGCAAUCUGGAGUGUGUGAGAGGAUAGUGGAAUUCCAGGUGUAGGGGUGAAAUCCGUAGAUAUCUGGAGGAACAUCCGUGGCGAAGGCGACUAUCUGGCACAUAACUGACGCUGAGGAGCGAAAGCGUGGGUAGCAAACAGGAUUAGAUACCCGAGUAGUC